GGAGCAGCAACGAUGUUACGCAGCAGGGCAGUCGCCCUAAAACAAAGUUAGGCAUCAUGGGUGAAUUUUUCCCUG
rnacentral:sRNA from 1 species